CCCUUGGGGCCGUACUGUCUCUCCUCUCUUCUUUGUUGCGGUCCCACUCCCGGUUCUUGCUCAGGGGUCGCCGGGACUCGUUUGCUCUAGGUCAGAGCCGAGAUGGUUCCAAGGCUUAUGUGAUGCAAGACGAUGGAUUGAUCUCAAUGCUACUGUGAGAGAAGUUGUUUACUACACAGCUCAACUACAUUUGCCAAACUCCAUAACAGUAUCUGAGAAGAGGGAAAUGGCAAAAAUGGCAAUAAGGGCAAUGGGACUGCAAAUGCCAUGGACAUAAAAAUUUGAGGUUGAGGGACCAAAGGACUAAGUGAUGGUCAAAAGAGAAGAGUUAGCAUUUGCCCGAAGCUUGUCACCUGCUUGGAGCUUCUCUUCCUUGACGAAACCAACCAGUGGACUCAACCAUCCUAUUAUGUCGUGAGCAGAAUAACCAUCUUUGACCAAAGAGAUGGAACCCAAAGAACUAUAAUCGCAUCAAUUCAUUAGCUCAGUAGUGGAGUCUUUCAACUUUUAUUGGGUGCUUUAGAUUGGUUGAAGAAGAUGAUGGGAUGUGAUAACUACAUAUGAUCAGUAGGAGUUUGUUUUGUAAAUUCAAUUGUUUCUUCUCUUUCUUGUAGUGUUGUGCGCGUUAUAUGUGCACAUAUUAAAGUUGUAAACUCAUAUUUUGUUAUCUCUUUUUGUAAUGGAAAUAUUGAAGUUCAAUUAACUCAAGUGUUCAAUGAUGAA